rnacentral:rRNA from 1 species
AAGGGCUCGCAGGCGGUUUCUUAAGUCUGAUGUGAAAGCCCCCGGCUCAACCGGGGAGGGUCAUUGGAAACUGGGAAACUUGAGUGCAGAAGAGGAGAGUGGAAUUCCACGUGUAGCGGUGAAAUGCGUAGAGAUGUGGAGGAACACCAGUGGCGAAGGCGACUCUCUGGUCUGUAACUGACGCUGAGGAGCGAAAGCGUGGGGAGCGAACAGGAUUAGAUACCCUGGUAGUCCACGCCGUAAACGAUGAGUGCUAAGUGUUAGGGGGUUUCCGCCCCUUAGUGCUGCAGCUAACGCAUUAAGCACUCCGCCUGGGGAGUACGGUCGCAAGACUGAAACUCAAAGGAAUUGACGGGGGCCCGCACAAGCGGUGGAGCAUGUGGUUUAAUUCGAAGCAACGCGAAGAACCUUACCAGGUCUUGACAUCCUCUGACAACCCUAGAGAUAGGGCUUUCCCUUCGGGGACAGAGUGACAGGUGGUGCAUGGUUGUCGUCAGCUCGUGUCGUGAGAUGUUGGGGUUAAGUCCCGCAACGAGCGCAAACCCUUGAUCUUAGUUGCCAGCAUUCAAUUGGGCACUCUAAGGUGACUGCCGGUGACAAACCGGAGGAAAGGUGGGGAUGACGUCCAAAUCAUCAUGCCCCUUAUGACCCUGGGGCUACACACGUGGCUACAAUGGAC